GUGAGGAAUAUUGCGCAAUGGCCGAAAGGCUGACGCAGCAACGCCGCGUGAGGGAUGAAGUUCCUAGGAAUGUAAACCUCUGUUAGAGGGGACGAACAGGCGAUUGUCGAACAGGCAGUCGUUUUGACGGUACCUUCAGAGAAAGCCCCGGCUAACUCCGUGCCAGCAGCCGCGGUAACACGGGGGGGGCAAGCGUUGUCCGGAAUUAUUGGGCGUAAAGGGCGCGUAGGUGGGAUGAUUAGUCCGAGGUGCAAACUUAUGGCUUAACUGUGAGCUUGCCUUGGAAACUGUCAUUCUUGAGUUCGGGAGAGGGAAAUGGAAUUCCUGGUGUAGCGGUGAAAUGCGUAGAUAUCAGGAAGAACACCGGUGGCGAAGGCGGUUUCCUGGCCCGAUACUGACACUGAGGCGCGAAAGUGCGGGGAGCAAACAGGAUUAGAAACCCCAGUAGUCC
rnacentral:rRNA from 1 species